rnacentral:rRNA from 1 species
GACGUAGGGCGCGAGCGUUGUCCGGAUUUAUUGGGCGUAAAGAGCUCGUAGGCGGCUUGUCGCGUCGACUGUGAAAUCCCGCGGCUCAACUGCGGGUCUGCAGUCGAUACGGGCAGGCUAGAGUUCGGUAGGGGAGACUGGAAUUCCUGGUGUAGCGGUGAAAUGCGCAGAUAUCAGGAGGAAUACCUAUGGCGAAAGCAGGCUUCUGGGCCAUCACUGACGCUGAGCUGCGAAAGCUAGGGGAGCAAACAGG